GAUGAACGCUGGCGGCGUGCCUAAUACAUGCAAGUCGAGCGAACAGACGAGGAGCUUGCUCCUUUGACGUUAGCGGCGGACGGGUGAGUAACACGUGGGUAACCUACCUAUAAGACUGGGAUAACUUCGGGAAACCGGAGCUAAUACCGGAUAAUAUUUCGAACCGCAUGGUUCGAUAGUGAAAGAUGGCUCUGCUAUCACUUAUAGAUGGACCUGCGCCGUAUUAGCUAGUUGGUAAGGUAACGGUUUACCAAGGCAACGAUACGUAGCCGACCUGAGAGGGUGAUCGGCCACACUGGAACUGAGACACGGUCCAGACUCCUACGGGAGGCAGCAGUAGGGAAUCUUCCGCAAUGGGCGAAAGCCUGACGGAGCAACGCCGCGUGAGUGAUGAAGGUCUUCGGAUCGUAAAACUCUGUUAUUAGGGAAGAACAAACGUGUAAGUAACUGUGCACGUCUUGACGGUACCUAAUCAGAAAGCCACGGCUAACUACGUG
rnacentral:rRNA from 1 species